rnacentral:tRNA from 1 species
GCCGACUUAGCACAGUUGGUAGUGCAACGCACUCGUAACGCGUAGGUCGGGGGUUCGAGUCCCUUAGUCGGCACCA